AAAUUUAAUUCUUCAAGUAAAUCCUAUGCAACUUAGAUGGAAGGUGGAGAAAGCCACCACUCGACAAGCUCGAGCUAUCGUUGAGAUACUACGAUAAAAUAGUUUGAGUCUAACAUUGUGUCAAGGGACAAUCAAGAUGGUUUCUAUAAGGCAUAGCCUCCUUAGAGGUAAUGGAAACGUGCAAAAGUUUCCUCGCGCUAGACGAAAAUUGACCAUCGAGUGCAAAAGUAAAGAGAAGCUUGAUUGCAAGACUCACCUAUCAAGCAGGGACAAAAGUCGGCCUUAACGAUUUUACAAUACAGAACAAAAUGUUCAUCGCUCAACGGAUAAAAGUUACU
rnacentral:rRNA from 1 species